GGUGGUUCAGCGGUAGAAUUCUUGCCUUCCAUGUGGGAGACCUGGGUUUGAUUCCCAGCC
rnacentral:tRNA from 1 species